rnacentral:rRNA from 1 species
GGAAGGAUCAUUAUCGUACAAAAUGUGAGGGGCAUGUGAGGGCUGUCGCUGACUCAAAGUCGUGCACGCCCGAGUGUGUCCUCUCACAUAAUAAUCCAUCUCACCCUUUGUGCAUCGCCGCGUGAGCACCCUUUGGGAUCAUCUCGGAGGGGGCUCGCGUUUUCACACAAACCCCCCUUUUAAAAGUGUAGAAUGACCUCAUUUAUGCGCUAACACGCAAUCAAUACAACUUUCAACAACGGAUCUCUUGGCUCUCGCAUCGAUGAAGAACGCAGCGAAAUGCGAUACGUAAUGUGAAUUGCAGAAUUCAGUGAAUCAUCGAAUCUUUGAACGCACCUUGCGCCCCUUGGUAUUCCGAGGGGCACACCCGUUUGAGUGUCGUGAAAACCUCAACCUCCUUGGUUUCUUCUGGAGACCAAAGGCAGGCUUGGACUUUGGAGGCCCUUGCUGGAACCUCUCUCUUUUGAAGGCCAGCUCCUCUUAAACGAAUUAGCAGGGUCCUCUUUGCCGAUCCUCGACGUGUGAUAAGAUGUUUCCAUGUCUUGGUUUCUGGCUCUGUCACUUUUGGGACCCGCUUCUAACCGUCUUGACCUUGCAUCGAGACAAUGUUCGAGCAUGUCUCCCUUCUCGGGAAGCUCCCUCGACCCCACGAACCCUUG